AUGAACGCUGGCGGCGUGCCUAAUACAUGCAAGUCGAGCGAACAGACGAGGAGCUUGCUCCUCUGACGUUAGCGGCGGACGGGGGAGUAACACGUGGAUAACCUACCUAUAAGACUGGGAUAACUUCGGGAAACCGGAGCUAAUACCGGAUAAUAUAUUGAACCGCAUGGUUCAAUAGUGAAAGACGGUUUUGCUGUCACUUAUAGAUGGAUCCGCGCCGCAUUAGCUAGUUGGUAAGGUAACUGCUUACCAAGGCAACGAUGCGUAGCCGACCUGAGAGGGUGAUCGGCCACACUGGAACUGAGCCACGGUCCAGACUCCUACGGGAGGCAGCAGUAGGGAAUCUUCCGCAAUGGGCGAAAGCCUGGCGGAGCAACGCCGCGUGAGUGAUGAAGGUCUUCGGAUCGUAAAACUCUGUUAUUAGGGAUGAACAAAUGUGUAAGUAACUAUGCACGUCUUGACGGUACCUAAUCAGAAAGCCACGGCUAACUACGUG
rnacentral:rRNA from 1 species